UACGUAGGGUGCGAGCGUUAAUCGGAUUUACUGGGCGUAAAGCGUGCGCAGGCGGCCCGUUAAGACAGGUGUGUAAUCCCUGGGCUCAACCUAGGAAUUGCGCUUGUGACUGGCGGGCUCGAGUACGGUAGAGGGGGGUGGAAUUCCUGGUGUAGCAGUGAAAUGCGUAGAGAUCAGGAGGAACACCGAUGGCGAAGGCAGCCCCCUGGGCCUGUACUGACGCUCAUGCACGAAAGCGUGGGGAGCAAACAGG
rnacentral:rRNA from 1 species